AUGACCUGGAUGACUGAGGACCUUCAGCAACAUUUAUGCUCUGUUCUGGUUUGUUUCGAUCUAUGCGAAGCACUUUGUGAUCUUCUAUCUGUAAUGACUCAACUCCACUUUAUUUGUACAGUGUUUUACAGCAACAGCGCUUUACAGCAACAGUGCAUGCCACCAAGGCGCUUUACAGCAACAGCGCAUGCCGUCAAGGCGCUUUACAGCAACAGCGCAUGCCACCAAGGCGCUUUACAGCAACAGCGCAUGCCACCAAGGCGCUUUACAGCAACAGCGCAUGCCACCAAGGCGCUUUACAGCAACAGCGCAUGCCACCAAGGCGCUUUACAGCAACAGCGCAUGCCACCAAGGCGCUUUACAGCAACAGCGCAUGCCACCAAGGCGCUUUACAGCAACAGCGCAUGCCACCAAGGCGCUUUACAGCAACAGCGCAUGCCACCAAGGCGCUUUACAGCAACAGCGCAUGCCACCAAGGCGCUUUACAGCAACAGCGCAUGCCACCAAGGCGCUUUACAGCAACAGCGCAUGCCACCAAGGCGCUUUACAGCAACAGCGCAUGCCACCAAGGCGCUUUACAGCAACAGCGCAUGCCACCAAGGCGCUUUACAGCAACAGCGCAUGCCACCAAGGCGCUUUACAGCAACAGCGCAUGCCACCAAGGCGCUUUACAGCAACAGCGCAUGCCACCAAGGCGCUUUACAGCAACAGCGCAUGCCACCAAGGCGCUUUACAGCAACAGCGCAUGCCACCAAGGCGCUUUACAGCAACAGCGCAUGCCACCAAGGCGCUUUACAGCAACAGCGCAUGCCACCAAGGCGCUUUACAGCAACAGCGCAUGCCACCAAGGCGCUUUACAGCAACAGCGCAUGCCACCAAGGCGCUUUACAGCAACAGCGCAUGCCACCAAGGCGCUUUACAGCAACAGCGCAUGCCACCAAGGCGCUUUACAGCAACAGCGCAUGCCACCAAGGCGCUUUACAGCAACAGCGCAUGCCACCAAGGCGCUUUACAGCAACAGCGCAUGCCACCAAGGCGCUUUACAGCAACAGCGCAUGCCGUCAAGGCGCUUUACAGCAACAGCGCAUGCCACCAAGGCGCUUUACAGCAACAGCGCAUGCCGUCAAGGCGCUUUACAGCAACAGCGCAUGCCACCAAGGCGCUUUACAGCAACAGCGCAUGCCGUCAAGGCGCUUUACAGCAACAGCGCAUGCCACCAAGGCGCUUUACAGCAACAGCGCAUGCCGUCAAGGCGCUUUACAGCAACAGCGCAUGCCACCAAGGCGCUUUACAGCAACAGCGCAUGCCGUCAAGGCGCUUUACAGCAACAGCGCAUGCCACCAAGGCGCUUUACAGCAACAGCGCAUGCCGUCAAGGCGCUUUACAGCAACAGCGCAUGCCACCAAGGCGCUUUACAGCAACAGCGCAUGCCGUCAAGGCGCUUUACAGCAACAGCGCAUGCCACCAAGGCGCUUUACAGCAACAGCGCAUGCCGUCAAGGCGCUUUACAGCAACAGCGCAUGCCACCAAGGCGCUUUACAGCAACAGCGCAUGCCGUCAAGGCGCUUUACAGCAACAGCGCAUGCCACCAAGGCGCUUUACAGCAACAGCGCAUGCCGUCAAGGCGCUUUACAGCAACAGCGCAUGCCACCAAGGCGCUUUACAGCAACAGCGCAUGCCGUCAAGGCGCUUUACAGCAACAGCGCAUGCCACCAAGGCGCUUUACAGCAACAGCGCAUGCCGUCAAGGCGCUUUACAGCAACAGCGCAUGCCACCAAGGCGCUUUACAGCAACAGCGCAUGCCGUCAAGGCGCUUUACAGCAACAGCGCAUGCCACCAAGGCGCUUUACAGCAACAGCGCAUGCCGUCAAGGCGCUUUACAGCAACAGCGCAUGCCACCAAGGCGCUUUACAGCAACAGCGCAUGCCGUCAAGGCGCUUUACAGCAACAGCGCAUGCCACCAAGGCGCUUUACAGCAACAGCGCAUGCCGUCAAGGCGCUUUACAGCAACAGCGCAUGCCACCAAGGCGCUUUACAGCAACAGCGCAUGCCGUCAAGGCGCUUUACAGCAACAGCGCAUGCCACCAAGGCGCUUUACAGCAACAGCGCAUGCCGUCAAGGCGCUUUACAGCAACAGCGCAUGCCACCAAGGCGCUUUACAGCAACAGCGCAUGCCGUCAAGGCGCUUUACAGCAACAGCGCAUGCCACCAAGGCGCUUUACAGCAACAGCGCAUGCCGUCAAGGCGCUUUACAGCAACAGCGCAUGCCACCAAGGCGCUUUACAGCAACAGCGCAUGCCGUCAAGGCGCUUUACAGCAACAGCGCAUGCCACCAAGGCGCUUUACAGCAACAGCGCAUGCCGUCAAGGCGCUUUACAGCAACAGCGCAUGCCACCAAGGCGCUUUACAGCAACAGCGCAUGCCGUCAAGGCGCUUUACAGCAACAGCGCAUGCCACCAAGGCGCUUUACAGCAACAGCGCAUGCCGUCAAGGCGCUUUACAGCAACAGCGCAUGCCACCAAGGCGCUUUACAGCAACAGCGCAUGCCGUCAAGGCGCUUUACAGCAACAGCGCAUGCCACCAAGGCGCUUUACAGCAACAGCGCAUGCCGUCAAGGCGCUUUACAGCAACAGCGCAUGCCACCAAGGCGCUUUACAGCAACAGCGCAUGCCGUCAAGGCGCUUUACAGCAACAGCGCAUGCCACCAAGGCGCUUUACAGCAACAGCGCAUGCCGUCAAGGCGCUUUACAGCAACAGCGCAUGCCACCAAGGCGCUUUACAGCAACAGCGCAUGCCGUCAAGGCGCUUUACAGCAACAGCGCAUGCCACCAAGGCGCUUUACAGCAACAGCGCAUGCCGUCAAGGCGCUUUACAGCAACAGCGCAUGCCACCAAGGCGCUUUACAGCAACAGCGCAUGCCGUCAAGGCGCUUUACAGCAACAGCGCAUGCCACCAAGGCGCUUUACAGCAACAGCGCAUGCCGUCAAGGCGCUUUACAGCAACAGCGCAUGCCACCAAGGCGCUUUACAGCAACAGCGCAUGCCGUCAAGGCGCUUUACAGCAACAGCGCAUGCCACCAAGGCGCUUUACAGCAACAGCGCAUGCCGUCAAGGCGCUUUACAGCAACAGCGCAUGCCACCAAGGCGCUUUACAGCAACAGCGCAUGCCGUCAAGGCGCUUUACAGCAACAGCGCAUGCCACCAAGGCGCUUUACAGCAACAGCGCAUGCCGUCAAGGCGCUUUACAGCAACAGCGCAUGCCACCAAGGCGCUUUACAGCAACAGCGCAUGCCGUCAAGGCGCUUUACAGCAACAGCGCAUGCCACCAAGGCGCUUUACAGCAACAGCGCAUGCCGUCAAGGCGCUUUACAGCAACAGCGCAUGCCACCAAGGCGCUUUACAGCAACAGCGCAUGCCGUCAAGGCGCUUUACAGCAACAGCGCAUGCCACCAAGGCGCUUUACAGCAACAGCGCAUGCCGUCAAGGCGCUUUACAGCAACAGCGCAUGCCACCAAGGCGCUUUACAGCAACAGCGCAUGCCGUCAAGGCGCUUUACAGCAACAGCGCAUGCCACCAAGGCGCUUUACAGCAACAGCGCAUGCCGUCAAGGCGCUUUACAGCAACAGCGCAUGCCACCAAGGCGCUUUACAGCAACAGCGCAUGCCGUCAAGGCGCUUUACAGCAACAGCGCAUGCCACCAAGGCGCUUUACAGCAACAGCGCAUGCCGUCAAGGCGCUUUACAGCAACAGCGCAUGCCACCAAGGCGCUUUACAGCAACAGCGCAUGCCGUCAAGGCGCUUUACAGCAACAGCGCAUGCCACCAAGGCGCUUUACAGCAACAGCGCAUGCCGUCAAGGCGCUUUACAGCAACAGCGCAUGCCACCAAGGCGCUUUACAGCAACAGCGCAUGCCGUCAAGGCGCUUUACAGCAACAGCGCAUGCCACCAAGGCGCUUUACAGCAACAGCGCAUGCCGUCAAGGCGCUUUACAGCAACAGCGCAUGCCACCAAGGCGCUUUACAGCAACAGCGCAUGCCGUCAAGGCGCUUUACAGCAACAGCGCAUGCCACCAAGGCGCUUUACAGCAACAGCGCAUGCCGUCAAGGCGCUUUACAGCAACAGCGCAUGCCACCAAGGCGCUUUACAGCAACAGCGCAUGCCGUCAAGGCGCUUUACAGCAACAGCGCAUGCCACCAAGGCGCUUUACAGCAACAGCGCAUGCCGUCAAGGCGCUUUACAGCAACAGCGCAUGCCACCAAGGCGCUUUACAGCAACAGCGCAUGCCGUCAAGGCGCUUUACAGCAACAGCGCAUGCCACCAAGGCGCUUUACAGCAACAGCGCAUGCCGUCAAGGCGCUUUACAGCAACAGCGCAUGCCACCAAGGCGCUUUACAGCAACAGCGCAUGCCGUCAAGGCGCUUUACAGCAACAGCGCAUGCCACCAAGGCGCUUUACAGCAACAGCGCAUGCCGUCAAGGCGCUUUACAGCAACAGCGCAUGCCACCAAGGCGCUUUACAGCAACAGCGCAUGCCGUCAAGGCGCUUUACAGCAACAGCGCAUGCCACCAAGGCGCUUUACAGCAACAGCGCAUGCCGUCAAGGCGCUUUACAGCAACAGCGCAUGCCACCAAGGCGCUUUACAGCAACAGCGCAUGCCGUCAAGGCGCUUUACAGCAACAGCGCAUGCCACCAAGGCGCUUUACAGCAACAGCGCAUGCCGUCAAGGCGCUUUACAGCAACAGCGCAUGCCACCAAGGCGCUUUACAGCAACAGCGCAUGCCGUCAAGGCGCUUUACAGCAACAGCGCAUGCCACCAAGGCGCUUUACAGCAACAGCGCAUGCCGUCAAGGCGCUUUACAGCAACAGCGCAUGCCACCAAGGCGCUUUACAGCAACAGCGCAUGCCGUCAAGGCGCUUUACAGCAACAGCGCAUGCCACCAAGGCGCUUUACAGCAACAGCGCAUGCCGUCAAGGCGCUUUACAGCAACAGCGCAUGCCACCAAGGCGCUUUACAGCAACAGCGCAUGCCGUCAAGGCGCUUUACAGCAACAGCGCAUGCCACCAAGGCGCUUUACAGCAACAGCGCAUGCCGUCAAGGCGCUUUACAGCAACAGCGCAUGCCACCAAGGCGCUUUACAGCAACAGCGCAUGCCGUCAAGGCGCUUUACAGCAACAGCGCAUGCCACCAAGGCGCUUUACAGCAACAGCGCAUGCCGUCAAGGCGCUUUACAGCAACAGCGCAUGCCACCAAGGCGCUUUACAGCAACAGCGCAUGCCGUCAAGGCGCUUUACAGCAACAGCGCAUGCCACCAAGGCGCUUUACAGCAACAGCGCAUGCCGUCAAGGCGCUUUACAGCAACAGCGCAUGCCACCAAGGCGCUUUACAGCAACAGCGCAUGCCGUCAAGGCGCUUUACAGCAACAGCGCAUGCCACCAAGGCGCUUUACAGCAACAGCGCAUGCCGUCAAGGCGCUUUACAGCAACAGCGCAUGCCACCAAGGCGCUUUACAGCAACAGCGCAUGCCGUCAAGGCGCUUUACAGCAACAGCGCAUGCCACCAAGGCGCUUUACAGCAACAGCGCAUGCCGUCAAGGCGCUUUACAGCAACAGCGCAUGCCACCAAGGCGCUUUACAGCAACAGCGCAUGCCGUCAAGGCGCUUUACAGCAACAGCGCAUGCCACCAAGGCGCUUUACAGCAACAGCGCAUGCCGUCAAGGCGCUUUACAGCAACAGCGCAUGCCACCAAGGCGCUUUACAGCAACAGCGCAUGCCGUCAAGGCGCUUUACAGCAACAGCGCAUGCCACCAAGGCGCUUUACAGCAACAGCGCAUGCCGUCAAGGCGCUUUACAGCAACAGCGCAUGCCACCAAGGCGCUUUACAGCAACAGCGCAUGCCGUCAAGGCACUUUAUAG
ensembl:lncRNA